rnacentral:rRNA from 1 species
CUACGGGUGGCUGCAGUGGGGAAUAUUGCACAAUGGGCGCAAGCCUGAUGCAGCCAUGCCGCGUGUAUGAAGAAGGCCUUCGGGUUGUAAAGUACUUUCAGCGGGGAGGAAGGGAGUAAAGUUAAUACCUUUGCUCAUCGACGUUACCCGCAGAAGAAGCACCGGCUAACUCCGUGCCAGCAGCCGGGGUAAUACGGAGGGUGCAAGCGUUAAUCGGAAUUACUGGGCGUAAAGCGCACGCAGGCGGUUUGUUAAGUCAGAUGUGAAAUCCCCGGGCUCAACCUGGGAACUGCAUCUGAUGCUGGCAAGCUUGAGUCUCGUAGAGGGGGGUAGAAUUCCAGGUGUAGCGGUGAAAUGCGUAGAGAUCUGGAGGAAUACCGGUGGCGAAGGCGGCCCCCCGGACGAAGACUGACGCUCAGGUGCGAAAGCGUGGGGAGCAAACAGGAUUAGAUACCCGGGUAGUC